CAUGAAUUCAGUAUUCCUGCUGCGUUUUCGCGAUUGUGUUACAUGAGUUGCAGAUAUAACGGUUGGACCUUGGAUGAGAACAGUCUUGUACGCCUGCCAGGGCUCCAUCUUGGUAAGAUCUAUCUUAUCCAGUGCGAGGAUUCUAUCCCCGGCGAAGAGUUUUUGGAAAGCGUUGCCGUUUUCAUCCACUUUGCUAACAAAAACCCCCUGGAAGAAAGAAAAAUCAUCAAAAUUUACAAUUUAUCUUCAUAUUUGCAGGGCGUUCGAGCUGAGAUCAAGAAAAGUCAACUUUUGGCACCUGUGGAUGUUGGCUGGUAUGUCCGAAUGCUUGAGGCAGUUCCUGCUUAGAUUCAGCGUGUGCAACUGGACCAGUUUUGAUAUUAACGCUGGGAUUAACUGGAUUUCAUUGUCAGAAAUGUCCAGGAAUCUUAAUUCUUCACAUUGGAAUAACAACCGAGAUGUUUAAAGGUGAUUUUUACCUUGUUUCCAUCAAGAUGAAGAUUUUCUAAGGUCCGUUCAAAGUUAAACACCUCUGGUGGGACAUCAGCGAUGGACGCCCGACUGAAGUCGAGCGUCUUCACGUCGUCCACCGCCUUCUGCUUGCAGGCGAAGCAGUUGAGCCAAUUCAUGAUGAUUCCUAGCUUACAUUCUCAUAAACACUCUGAUGAAGCCACAAACACUGGAAACUUGUAGCGCUUGUGAUACGUCGAGGUAGUCUUAUUCUUCUACUGGUGAAAAUCAGGAGAGAUGCAGCUGCGUCUGGAUUCAUGCUUGCACAUUCAUCACUUCCUCUUUCCACUCCAUACACCAUACAAC